rnacentral:rRNA from 1 species
GUGGGGAAUUUUGGACAAUGGGCGCAAGCCUGAUCCAGCAAUGCCGCGUGAGUGAAGAAGGCCUUCGGGUUGUAAAGCUCUUUCGGACGGAAAGAAAUCGGCGGGGUGAAUAAUCCUGCUGGAUGACGGUACCGUAAGAAGAAGCACCGGCUAACUACGUGCCAGCAGCCGCGGUAAUACGUAGGGUGCGAGCGUUAAUCGGAAUUACUGGGCGUAAAGCGUGCGCAGGCGGCGCUGUAAGACAGGUGUGAAAUCCCCGGGCUUAACCUGGGAAUGGCGCUUGUGACUGCAGUGCUCGAGUGCGGCAGAGGGGGGUGGAAUUCCACGUGUAGCAGUGAAAUGCGUAGAGAUGUGGAGGAACACCGAUGGCGAAGGCAGCCCCCUGGGUCGACACUGACGCUCAUGCACGAAAGCGUGGGGAGCAAACAGGAUUAGAUACCCGAGUAGUCC